AGAAAAACUUCAACUCAACUUUUGUUUACUUUUGUUCUAUGAUACCAAAUUUUACUUAUGACUUGGGAAAAUCUCAUAGUUGAGUUAAGCAUAAGUUGUGUUCUGUGAUAUGGCCCUCAGUCACCUAUUUAUUUUACUUUUGUGGAAAUCAAAGUAGGUACUUCAUGGUAUUCUCACUAAUUUUUGGUUGCGAAAAAAGUCUACGAAUGUGUAAAUGAAAUUGUGUUUCAUGAAGUACGAAGUAUCUUGAAUCAUAGCAGCUAUUGAUAACCCUAUUUACAAAAAUAUACAAAAAUGUUAAGAUAUACGAAAUUUUGCCGAAGAUUUUUCAUCUUAACGUUAAUGUUGAUAAAGGCAAAUGCUGGGCAUUCAUCAAAUAUUGAAAAUUUUUCAACGUUUAAGCGUAUGGAUUUAUACAAGCUCGAAAGCACUUAUCCGGAGCAAUAUUGCUUGCAUUUUGUAUGCGAGAGCAGUGGCCUAUCCGCAGUCCGAAUAGCGCAAAUCAUCGAUAAAGAAAAUGAAAUUCGAAACGAUUUUGCCAACUCGAAUGGUAUUUCAAAUAUAUAUCACGUGGUACAAGAGUAACGUUCUUUUUGAUUUAUGUAUCUACAUACUUUGACAUCAGUUACUCAUUCCAAUCAACUCUAGUGGACUUUUUAUCGCUUUCCUUAAAGGAAUGGAGUCCACUGUUGGCCAACUUCGCACGCAGAAAAGCUCUACUAUGUUUGUAUCGGACUGAUGAAGAAAAUGUGAUUUUUGAAACUCAAAUUUUUGAGGAGUGGUUUGGAUCAAAUGUACAUUCAAAAUUUCCGAAGCCUGUCGCCAUAGAAGUUGUAAUGGAGUAUCAAGUUGAACCCAUCAAUAACAGGCCAGCUAUAUACCUCUACGAUCAAUUAGAAGACGCGUUGGGUGAAUUUUUUUUUCGUGAACAAUAUUUCAACAAGUAAUCGCAGUAAUCGCGUAAUAAUUUACAAAUAAGAAGGCGACUCAAAAUUAAAAAUUUUCAUUUUUUUUUUUUGUCAUUCAAGUCCAAGCGCGAUACGCAGAAGAGGCUCCGUUCUGCAAAUGGGCUGUGAUUACGUAGUACGCAAUAACAAAACGCAUUUAAUAACCCAUCUGGUUUGUGCUUACGGUGUACUUUAUUUUAGUAACGGCGUUUCCAAUGAUUAUUCGGCUGUCAUCGGUACUCCUUGUUCGAAAUGCCAGUUUUACGUCGGUAGAACCUAUUUUCGAACGACUAGCACAGUUCAACAGUGGGGUUGUUUGUCGACAUUUCCUUUCUUAUGCGGUGGUAAAUUUUUUUAUUCACGCUACGUCGCGUCGUCGCAAAUAUGGUAACCAAUUAGACUGACGAGGGAACUCACGCGCGCCGUCAGCGUCACGCCGAUCGGGAUGAAACUGCGCUUGUAGCAACCAUCACUGCACCGUAUACUAGACCAUUUUUUCUCUGAAAAACGUUUCGUUGCGCCGCGCCGCGGUGGCAUAGGCGCAGUUUUAUCUUUCUCAGUCGGCAAUCGGCAUCUCUCAUGAAGUCAUGAGUAAACAUUAUUACGUAUUUCGCAGAUCUUGCAUUGACAUCGCCUCCGGUUGAUAGUUUCCGUCACGAUUGUAACAAAGAUCAAACAACGUCUGCCACGAAACCGGGUUUGAAUGUAGUAACUUCUGUUCCGCUAGACGUCGAAGGUCCGACUAGACCUCCUCACGAAUGGCCCUGUCUGAAGUACGCGAUUCCGUUGAUGUUACUCAUCUGCAUCAUGAUCGUUGCUAUUCUUUAUCAAACGUAUUCCAUUAUCGCGAUGAAACUGAAUUUCAAGUGACGAUAAAUUAUACGAGAGGUGAAAAAAAUCGAUUAUUUUCUCACUUCCUCAUUUCUCGGGUCCCGAUCAAAAAUUCGUCGCACUUUAUAAAAAAUUUAUUAUAAAAUACAUGCGUACCUUAAAUUACCAUUACAAUAACAAUGAUAUAUUGAUCAAUGUGCUACAAAUAUUCGACUUGCGAAUUAGGUAUGUUUCUUUUAGAGCCAGAGCGAAAGAAAAAUAACAAUUUACAAUAACUUCAGAAAUCAUUAUAGUUUGAAAAUAAUUAUUUAGGUAAAUACGGACACUCGAAAUGAAAAUUGAAAAAGAAAAAGAAAAAGAAAACAACACAACGAUACGAAAAGAUUGCUAUUUAAACAAAUAUACGUCAACGACACAACGAAAUCAAUCAAAACAUCAAUUCUCGCUCAAAAAUUAUUUAGUCAAAAUUUUAUUAUUAUUAAAUCGCAUCGUCUCUAAACGCGUAAGUUUUUAAAAUUCUGCACAAUUUUUUCCCCAACACAGUCCACGCAUUAGGUUAGCUACCCAUUUAAAAACAAAAACAGCUAGGUACAUGAUUGCAAGCGAAUUUAUGUAUAUUCAUUAAUGGUACGUAAAAUUACAUUGAAAUACAAAAAUCGUCUCAUUUGCUAAAAUAUAUAAUCAAUUUUGCACAUCGUAAUAAUCAUCUUAUUCGUUAGUCCAUAACGAUAUGAUCUAAAUAAAAACGUAUUUGGGAGAGAGAAAAAUACCAACACUAAAACCAGAGAAGGGAGAACCUUACAUCUUUAUAAUUGCACGAGAAUAAAUUUAAUAAAUUUUUAUAAAGCGUUCAAAUCGCCACAUCUCGAUACCGUUUUUUGUUUACAUGAUUAAUUAUUUAACUUAUAUCAUUAAGUAAUUUACAAAAUAAAGAGUAAGUAAACUCGUUUUCUUAGAUUAGCAAAAGAAUCGGUGCACUUUACAGGUAAACACGUGUUACGUGGCUUGUCUAA